rnacentral:rRNA from 1 species
ACGGCCAAACCAUAUUGGAAGCACCGGUUCUCGUCCGAUCACUGAAGUUAAGCAAUGUCGGGUCUGGUCAGUACUUGGGAGGGUGACCACCUGGGAACACCGGAUGCUGUAGGUU